rnacentral:lncRNA from 1 species
GGUACAUGACCUCUUAAAUGAGACUUUCAGGAUUAUUGGUCAGAGCAGUUUUAAUGACCUCAAAGGGGCUGUGGAAGUUUUGUAUGCCAUUCAUAUUUCGGUCCAAAACUAUAUGAAUGUUCUUCCAAGGAAGAAUUGAAGCACAUUAGGAAGGCUGCUAUAUUCCUUGUAAGUUUACUAUACUGAUUGGAUGUAUGGUUCAUAACUUGCUUUGUGGAUGUAUUCUAAUUAUUUCCUUAUUAGACUAUGCUUGAAAAGUAAAAAAAGCAUGGCCAUUUGUGACCUAUAGUUGCCAUUUUUUCUAAACACUCUCAAGACUCUCACCCUAUCAUGCAUGAAUCAACCACGACAACUCUAGUUCAAGGUUCAAGCAGAUAAUAGAAAGCCUACUAAUGAAUCACUUCUUAUUGCUUGUGAUAACCCAGUUUUAGGGCAAGUAAAACACAUGAUAGCAUAUUUACAAAAUAGAACAUUCAACACCGCCUCAUUGGGCCCUUUGGAGGUGCCAAGACACAGAUGCUUGUAUUAACUUCUAUGGUGUACAAAGUGUCAGGUAUCAUGUGUUACUGGAAAUUUAACUACAUGGUCAUGCAACCAUAGAUAUGUAGAAGAAGUGGACCUUGUCUAAUUUAUUUAUUUUGGCAUUAUACUAUGAGUUUUUUGUGGGCUGAUUGCUGCAUUGUGGCCUGUUAAUUAGUCUAAUUUUUUUUCUUGUUAUAAAAAUACAUUAUUUUUGCAUGCUUUGUUAAUCAUGUUUAGUCCCGGGACAUAUUGUGUGGCUCACUAGACAGUUUUUCCUCCGUAGUGAAUCCCAAGUACUAUGCUAGUUAAACUGACAUGUCAAAUUAAAGCCACUUACUCUGUCCAGAGUAAUUUUUUUUUAUUAUACACUUUUUCUGUAUUACAUCUGUUAAAAGUUUUAAACAUUCUAUAGUAUUGUAUGAAGCUUGCACUGUUAGCAACUUCACUAGAAUGAUAUGGGGGUUUAAAGUGUAGAGUUGUGUAUAUUAACACUGAAUCCAAGUUUUUUUUCAUGCACGUAGCUUAGUUACAUCUUUCAGUUAAUAAAUAGCUGAUGGAGUUAUCAAUCUUCAUGAUAUAUUGUUGGAUCUUCAAGAUAGCAAGAAAAGAUUUAUUCAAAUAUUUAUGCAAGAAGGAUUGGCCUAAAACGCUAUUAUUCUACCAAUAUAUGAUAUAAUAUGUAAUAUUUCAGUUUUGAACUUCUGUUCUCACAUACACCACUUCUUAGGUUGUUAUUUCACACCUUCUCUUUUUGGUGUGCAGAUGGUUGGCAGAGUUUUAGUGACACAUCAUUAUCUGAUUUCAAAAAGAAGCACUCUGUAUAUUUGUCUCACACUCAGCCAAUGCAAGGCUGAUGUUGAGCGAUGCCCACGAAUGAUCAAACUUCAUAAAAAAAUCAUUAAAUGCUCCUCCUAAGCUAAGGUUUCAAAGAUCACAAAUACGUGGUGUAAGAAGAUGGUUUUGUGCUGCUCAAACUUCCCCAACUUUUCUGCUUUUUGUCUAAAACUAGAAAACAGAGCGAACACUAAGCCUGCGACCAGAAAACAUAACUAACUCCAAAAGGUAGUUACAUGAGAGGCCUUCUGUUUUCAGCUCGUGAUCUGUGAAAUAAGUGCUUUAUACAUGUAAAACUGACAUCUAUUACAUUAAUUAGUAUAGUAAUAUUAUACCAUCUAACUGACUGAACUACUACUGUUGAGUUCUGCUUCUGGACCUAUACUCAUAUUCUGUUUAUUAGAUAUUUAGAGUUCGAAUAUACAACUUACGUGCUAAGCUAGUGAGCAUGCCGCAUUGAUGUGCUAGAUUCUAUAAGAGCUAUCCUUUUAUUUGAUUGGGUGGCAAGGGAUAUUUGACGAGAGGUAAAAUAUUUUUCAAUAGUACUUUUAUAAUUUUAUUUGACCUACAUCGCUUGAAUGAAUUCCUCUGUAGUUUUUUACUUCAUAUCUGAGCAUGUUUUAUGACAGACUGUGUGUGGUUCUAGAUACAUGGUUGUCCUGAAAAGCUAAGAUGUGGUUACUGGAUAAGCUUUCGUCCUUUAGUUCUUAAUAUUCAAAAAUUUAUGGUAACGUUUGUCUCUAUCAUAGGAUAUAUUUGUUUUGCAUCAGACAUGUAGGCUGUAGCAUAGAAUGUUCAACGAAAUUGUUGGCUCUCAGAAGAAAAAAAGGGUGUUGCACUUGACUAUUGGCUUUGAAGAUUACAUUUGGAAAGAUCAGAGAGUAGCUAGCUUCUUGUGUGAGUGUGAAGGGUUGUUUUAGUUGACCGUAUUAAAGCAUCUUAAACAACAACAAUUAAUCAGGUUAGUAUUGCGGCUAGUAGGCUGGUUUGUAGAAGCAUUUACCAAUCUGUGUCAGGAUAGCUAAACANNNNNNNNNNNNNNNNNNNNNNNNNNNNNNNNNNNNNNNNNNNNNNNNNNNNNNNNNNNNNNNNNNNNNNNNNNNNNNNNNNNNNNNNNNNNNNNNNNNNNNNNNNNNNNNNNNNNNNNNNNNNNNNNNNNNNNNNNNNNNNNNNNNNNNNNNNNNNNNNNNNNNNNNNNNNNNNNNNNNNNNNNNNNNNNGGUGUUCCUACUUGGCUUUCCUUUCCGCGUGCUAAAUGUGAUUAUAGAUUCUCUUGGUUCUGUCAGAUUAGUAGAGAUUUCCCAAGAAUGUACGCAUUGUUUCACCAGUUCUGAGAUGUUGUUUCAACUCAUGGUCGCACACGCCCUUCUUCUUUGGUUCAUCAAAACAUUCAAGACUUGGGUGAUUUGUGAUUACGCGAGUAGCACUACCACAAUCUUUUGUAGAAGCAUAUGUAUGUGAACUUCUAUUGUAGUGUUUUUCACAAGAAUACAACUUUCUUUGUGUUCAGAAAGUUAAUUUUAGCAAGUUUUGUCAUCUGACCUGUACAGUUGGAUCACAUAACGGCAGUUCUACCUUUCCAAUGUACUAUUACUUUUUAAUUGAUAAGCAGGCUACUUGCAUAACGGUAGUUAUACUAGUACUUCCUUGUUUCUAUUUGAACCAUAAUUCACAAACUAAUUAUAUACAUAUACUGCUCUUUUUUUAUUAUGAAAACUAAGCAGUGGGCAUUUACAGUGGGUUACUUUUGGAGUCAACAUUUGCAAUGUUUCCUCGGACAGAUUUGUAAAUGUUGCUUACUAAGGUUGUUCUAUUUUUAGUGAGAUGCAGAUGCAGACCAGUGGGCAAGUAGCAGGCACAUGACCUUUUUGUUUGUUUAGUUUGUACUUUGUACUACCAUAUAAUUCUAGCUUUUAGAGUCGAUGAAAUUUCAUUCUGUUGUUGCAGAUCUGGAGUGGCACGAGUCUUCUCUUUCGUGGAUAGUGUUUGUAGUUAGCAUCGUCUAUUAAGGUGCCAUAUAUCCUUUUCAACUAUUGCUUUGCUUUCGUUAUUUGUGCUUUUAAAAACACUGUGGAUGGGGUUUGUAAUAAUGCAUGGGAAUGAUUUGUAUUGCUGGUAUCCCAUCUCGGUUUUACAUUAUUUAUGUUUAGUGCUGCUAUGCUACUCCUUGAGAUAAAUAUAAUUAAUACAAAUAAUGUUGAAUGCCAUAGUUGUUGGCCCAGAACAUCUUUAAGAAAAAAACUUGACUAGCCAAUGAAUUGCAUGCCGAAGUCCUAAGUAUGCAAGCUGAAAAAUUUCUCAUCCUCCGGGGCCUCCGAGAUUCACUUUUUGCGUGUCCAUUAUGAGCGUCCACAACCUGCUGUCUGUGAUAGAGGACCGAUCUUGCCACCCUUUGCUUGAGGUAGCAAUUCCCCGGCCAGCCCAACUCCCUCAUGUUCCCUCUAGUUGUUUUGCCUACGACGUCCAUCGCCCGGUAUCACCUGGCCGCUAGCAAGCUUAACGCCAAGUACAGGUAGCCGCAUACUUGUUGUACUCCUACUACUUUGAUAUUAUUACAGCUCGUGUUGUGCCUUAGGGGCAGUCCCACAUGCUCUGUUUGCCACUGAACUACUUGGUCAAGUUCAGGGCAAGUCAUUUCCUUCCACGCUCUAGUGCUACAUGCUCUAUUAUCCUUGCUCUACUUUUUCCUUGUGCCCAAGUCCGAACAUGUUAUGUUCAUGCUUAAUGUGGUGGUUGUACUUACAAAUUCACAGUUAACUACUCUCUGCAAGAUGAUGAAAUGUGCAUGAUCCAAUUGACUUCUCUUUAGUUCACAUACUCAUUUCAUUUUAUUUCAGCACCUAAUUAGGCUGAUGUAUCCAUAGUACAAAUUCUUGAUGUGCAUGAUUUAUCCAUAGUACUUGUUGUUCAGUGUUCCCAUUUGAUAUAGUUUUUGUGUGCUAAAUUUUAUUACGACAUGCCCAGUUAUGUUAGAACAGGAGAUGUUUCAUGAGAAUGUCAUGUUUUAGUAGAGUGGUUGAAUUUGGCACUAACUUUGCCCUUUUUUGUUUUAGAUACAAUGGAUCAUUCACAAUAUUCAGAACAUGAACGCUUACUGGAAACUUAUAUAUGCAUGCAUGUUUGAUUGAUGCUUUCUUUCAUUGGUGAAGAUGUUUAUUAUUGCUACUUGUUGUUCAGUGUUCCCACUUGAUCUAGUUAUUGUGUGCUAAAUGUUAUUACGACAUGCCUAGUUAUGUUAGAAAAGGAGAUGUUUCAUGAGAAAGUCAUGUUUUAGUAGGGUGGUUGAAUUUGGCACUGACUUUGCCAUUUUUUGAGAUACAAUGGAUCAUUCACAAGAUUCAGAACAUCAAAGCUUAGUAGAAACUUAUAUAUGCAUCCAUGUUUGAUUGAUGCUUUCUUUCAUUGGUGAAGAUGUUUAUUAUUGCUACUGUUUUUAUUUAAAAGUUGUAAUAGUGAGAUGUAUAGACGAGCCAAUAGGCCAUGAAAUCUAUGGUCUUGUUAGUUUCAACGAUCACUCAAGGGGCACAAACACCGGGUGCAAGAUGCAGGUUGUGUAUUGCUCAAACUUCAAC